AUGCAUCUCGGAUAUCUUGUCCUCAUGGCCUUCCUGGGGCAACCGCUAGGCACCAUGGGGCAGACGACUGUUACCCAGCAAGAAGGACAAGUCACAGUGAAGCAGAGAGACACCUUCCAAACAACCUGCACCUACCAGACCUCGUACUUUCGAGGCUUGCUCUGGUACCAGCAUAGGAAAGGCCAAGCUCCCCAGCUGAUCUCAUAUCAGGCAACAGCCACCUCUAAGCGGAGUGGCCGUUUCACCACGUUGCUGAACACUGAGGAGAAAUACAGCCUCCUGCAGCUGGAGGAAGUCGAGGUCUCUGACAGCGCCUUGUACCUCUGUGCUGUGCAAGACACGCUGGUGCAGAGAGCUUGCUUGGCUGUGCAGUAA